CAUGCAAGUCGAGGGGCAGCAUGAUUGAAGCUUGCUUCAAUUGAUGGCGACCGGCGCACGGGUGAGUAACGCGUAUCCAACCUUCCGCUUACUCGGGGAUAGCCUUUCGAAAGAAAGAUUAAUACCCGAUGGUAUGAUGAGAUUGCAUGAUAGCAUCAUUAAAGAUUUAUUGGUAAGCGAUGGGGAUGCGUUCCAUUAGGUAGUAGGCGGGGUAACGGCCCACCUAGCCGACGAUGGAUAGGGGUUCUGAGAGGAAGGUCCCCCACAUUGGAACUGAGACACGGUCCAAACUCCUACGGGAGGCAGCAGUGAGGAAUAUUGGUCAAUGGACGAGAGUCUGAACCAGCCAAGUAGCGUGAAGGAUGAAGGUCCUACGGAUUGUAAACUUCUUUUAUAAGGGAAUAAAACCUCCCACGUGUGGGAGCUUGUAUGUACCUUAUGAAUAAGCAUCGGCUAACUCCGUGCCAGCAGCCGCGGUAAUACGGAGGAUGCGAGCGUUAUCCGGAUUUAUUGGGUUUAAAGGGAGCGCAGACGGGUCGUUAAGUCAGCUGUGAAAGUUUGGGGCUCAACCUUAAAAUUGCAGUUGAUACUGGCGUCCUUGAGUGCGGUUGAGGUGUGCGGAAUUCGUGGUGUAGCGGUGAAAUGCUUAGAUAUCACGAAGAACUCCGAUUGCGAAGGCAGCACACUAAGCCGUAACUGACGUUCAUGCUCGAAAGUGUGGGUAUCAAACAGGAUUAGAUACCCUGGUAGUCCACACGGUAAACGAUGGAUACUCGCUGUUGGCGAUAUACGGUCAGCGGCUUAGCGAAAGCGUUAAGUAUCCCACCUGGGG
rnacentral:rRNA from 1 species